AAAAUUGCGUAUUCGCAAAAUUAUAUAAUUAAAUAUGCUACUUUUAUUAAUACUUAAAUUUUUAUUUCAACACAAUAUUUACUUACAUUGCUGUGUCAAUUAUGUUUUUUGAAUUAAUAAAAAGCUUAUUUCCUAUGAAAGAUGUUAAUUUAUACGCAUUUGAGAUGACCAUGACCAUGAUCUUUGUGUGAAUCAUUGCUUUAGAAGGAAAAAGAAAGAAAAAGAGACUAUUAAAUCAAUGUAAGGAGGAUAUGUACAAUGUACAUAUAAGCUUGAUCAAUUGCAUAGGUCUGUCUCGAUAUACGUUCGUCGUGCAUCUGUGUAAUAUUACAAUUCUAGAAAGUAUUACUUCGCAAUAGGAAGCACUUUGAUUUAAAACAUGUUUGCUGCUAUUUUCGCCUUUGCACUUAUAACAACGUAUUCUGCAGCGGAAAUACGUGAGUAAAUGAGAGGUCAGUAUUUAUCUAUAUCAUCGCGCGCAUAUGAUUCAUUUCAUACUAACCGUGCAGAUUGUCGUAAUUCUUAAACCGGAACACUCUUGAUCCGCAACUAGGAAAUUCGAAUAAUUAAUAAAACAUUUGUCAAAUUAGAUAAUUAAUGUAAAAGAUUUAAACAAUUCUAAGUUGUGGUAAACAUUAACAAUAAUUAUAAUGUAUAAUACAUUGGCAAUGCAAACUGCGUACCUAGCAUUAUGGAUGUAGACAGUAAUAAUGUGAAGGACAUAUGCGUGUGAAAACGACGGACGAAAAAAAGCCAUUCCCAUUAUAGUCCUUGUAUUUAAUCAAAGCAACAGUAACGAUGGUAUUGACUUCGACAGGAAUUCCUUGUCGAGCGUUUAUCCACAUAUUUUAUGGAAUGGCAUGUACGAGUACGUGAGAAUGUUUUAUAAUGAAUUUCCGCAAUAUGACAAUUUGUCUUACAGACUUGGCUUGCUGCGAGCGUGUCGCUUAUGACAGCCUCCUACAUUCAUGUGUGCAGCCGCAGAGACCCGAAUCUCGAUCAAUGCAUCAUAAGUAACAUUGAUAAUUUAAAAGGAAACCUUUGCAAAGGAAUUCCAGAAUUGAGCGUUCCGCCAGGCAAUCCAUAUACUUUUGACGACUCGUCUCCGAUGCGCCUAACACCAAGAUGUACAUUAGAGAUGCGAAAAUAAUGGGAAUGUGUGAUUUUGUCGCCCUCCUUCACACGAUCUCACAGACAGAUUCCACUUCGAUAUUGAACUCUUAUUCAAACGGACUCAAGUGAACACCACUUAUGAUUUCAACAUACGUUUUCUAGUGCUCAUCUCUUAUAAAAGAUUGGUUUAUAUUACUAUAGAUAAUAUAGAAGCAAAAAUCGACGUGGACAUGAAACUGGCAGCUAAAGGCAGCAAAACAUAUGCAUACAUAUCGAAGUUGAAGAUUAAUAUCGACCCCAAGAACUAUAAUGUCGAAUUUGAUUUGAACAAAAAGGAAUUAGGAUAAUUUUAUGAAAUUGUUAAGAAUUUUGUAGGCAAUCAGGAAGAGAUUAUUAAAAUUCUUAAAUCGGUUUUAGAAGAAACGAUCUUCAAACGGGUCAUCUUGAUGUGGUUCUAAUGAUGUGGUAAAACACUUUUACUUACGAAGAACUUUUUCCUGAUCGAACAUAAACCGUCCAAAACAUUGUAAUCUAUUGAUCAUUGAUCAUUCCGUUCUUUUGUGAUCUAUUUAAAGAAUAACUGGUUCAAUAUUUGUUAUAUUUUAAAAAACUGACGAGAUUUUAUUUCUGUAAAAAUGAAAACAGACAUACAAUAGAGGAGGAAAUGUUGAAAGGGCUAAAAAUAAAAUAUUGUUUCAUGCGAUAUUAUAUUAUCUUUGAUAAUAGCGAUAAAAGAAGUUUAAAUAUAGAUAUGUUAUAAUAACCGCUCUUGAUUUAGUUUCACUUUAGUCUCGAUAUUCAUAAAUGUUUUACCAACAAUAAAUAGAAUAUAAUACAUGAAAAGUGUUUCUUGUAACAAUAUGGAAUACACAUACGUUGCAUAACCGUUAUGCAAUUCAUCAUCCGCAGUAAAUUGAAAAAAAAGACGAUCUGAUGCAGAUAUGGUAAUGUUUAAUCUCUUAGCUCUACACUUGUGAUUAUUCUUAUAUGAUUCGUUGUUCACGAGUACGCUUAUUUGCCAUUGAAUUUACUCAGCUUUAUUUGAAAGUACAUUGCUGCAGCGUGUUUAAUUAUCAGGUUCCUGUUGCGUUAGAACUGUAAUUUUGAAAUAUAUGUAUAUAAAAAUACAAAAGAAUCUGAUUUAUUUCAAUUGCUAGAUGUAUUGCUAUGCUAUUUGUGAUUACGAAGAAUUUAUUUGUCACAAUUUGUUAUUAUAUUAUUAUUGUUGU